rnacentral:rRNA from 1 species
UACAGAGGUCUCAAGCGUUGUUCGGAUUCAUUGGGCGUAAAGGGUGCGUAGGUGGCAUGGUAAGUUGAAGGUGAAAUCUCGGAGCUCAACUCCGAAACUGCCUUCAAUACUGCCGUGCUUGAGGACUGGAGAGGAGACUGGAAUUUACGGUGUAGCAGUGAAAUGCGUAGAGAUCGUAAGGAAGACCAGUGGCGAAGGCGGGUCUCUGGACAGUUCCUGACACUGAGGCACGAAGGCCAGGGGAGCAAACGGG